UCAAUUUCUUCAGAGAAAAAGAGAAAAACUGCAUGUGCGACACUAAAAUGGGAGAAUUACUAAGGCAGAGAAACGAAAAGUGAGCCACGCUGGAUGUUGAAUAAUCAUUAUCCAUGUGGAUGCAAGAAGCCAAUGCGAUUGAUGCAAAAUAAAAUUACAAUACCGAUGAUUUCAAAUAAUUUCAAGUAUAAGAAGUCUUAUUCGAAAAGUCGUUGUUGCAUCAGAAGAAAUUCUUGCUAAAAAAAAACAAAUGAUAACUGUCCUUUGCUUGAAAUAUAUUGAGAGGAUACUGAACUGCUUUUUAAACUUGCUCAGGAUCGAUAAUGACCGGAAGCCUAAUUAGGCGCAGGAACGACGUCUUUUUCGUAGUUCAACUCACUGUUAAGGAUAAAAACUAAACUAAAAAAAUUGUCCAAAAAAGGACUAAUCCUGUAAAGAUUAAGCGAGUGACAAUGAAUUUGGCUGCAAUUAUUUACUUGUAUAUUCAAUAUAAUUUAGCAGAUAAUUAUAUACAUACUUAUAUAUGUAUACUUCGAGUUAUACAAAAUUAAACGAUGAUAUAGGAUGUUGUCAAUAUGGCCAUCUAAUUGUAAGUAUGCUACUAAUAUAGUCACUUUCGAGAUCUCCAUAGCGACAAAAUUUCUCGAUAAAUCGAUAAAUUAAAGGCUUAAUUUAAGACUGUUAACUUUCAAUCUCUCCCUAUGGGUUGUUUUCAUCCUGCUUAAAGCUACUAUUCUUAAUUUCUCAUACAACCAUGAUGCUAGCGUCAUCAAAGUUGUACUAAAAAAAACUUUGGAGGGGAAGGGUUUUUAGUGCAAAAAGCCAGCCCGAUCCGUUUGUUUUACUCCAAACGCCAGCCAGGUAAAAUAGGACGUUUUCGACCCAUAGAGAGGGAUUACGUAAGUAAAAAUGACUUUUUCGAAAAAAAAUUUUUUGUAAAUUAAGUAUUUUCGGACACGUACAUGCAUUUUAGAACAUAAUUAUGUAUAUAUUUUAAGUUGAACAUGUACAAUGCAGGUUAGAAAUCCAAAAUACUUUAAGCAGACCAAUAAAAUUUAGUAUUCAACAAAUAUUGGGAAGAUUGGACAUUAACUAAUAAAUUUAAAAAAAAAAAGAUGUUUUUAUUGUUUAUAUAAAAAUGAU
rnacentral:lncRNA from 1 species